rnacentral:rRNA from 1 species
UACCUAUACGUUGCCUCGGCGGAUCAGCCCGCGCCCCGUAAAACGGGACGGCCCGCCCGAGGACCCCUAAACUCUGUUUUUAGUGGAACUUCUGAGUAAAACAAACAAAUAAAUCAAAACUUUCAACAACGGAUCUCUUGGUUCUGGCAUCGAUGAAGAACGCAGCAAAAUGCGAUAAGUAAUGUGAAUUGCAGAAUUCAGUGAAUCAUCGAAUCUUUGAACGCACAUUGCGCCCGCCAGUAUUCUGGCGGGCAUGCCUGUUCGAGCGUCAUUUCAACCCUCAAGCUCAGCUUGGUGUUGGGACUCGCGGUAACCCGCGUUCCCCAAAUCGAUUGGCGGUCACGUCGAGCUUCCAUAGCGUAGUAAUCAUACACCUCGUUACUGGUAAUCGUCGCGGCCACGCCGUAAAACCCCAACUUCUGAAUGUUGACCUCGGAUCAGGUAGGAAUACCCGCUGAACUUAAGCAUAUCAAUAAGCGGAGGAA